CUUAAAAGUUUUGAAUUUUCACGGCAACUCUCUCUCUCAAAGAGCCUCUCGCACGACCUUUUCAGAAACUCCCUCUUUCUCAACUCCCUUUCUCGUCCCUGCAACACCAUCUCCAUCUUGCCGUCUUAGUCACCAAGCUCGCCAUCCAUGUCACAGAUCUCGGCGUCGAGUUCACUAAGGUCGCCAUCUUCACGAGGACACCUCAACGAUCUUCGAGAUCUCCUUCAUGGGGCCUCUCUCGAGCCCAAUGAGAUCUGCAGGCAACGCUUAUUGGUGGUGGUUACAAGUUGGAUGGUCGUGGUGUGAUAACGAUUUUGUUAGCCAUCGUGAUUGGGUCCAAGUUUGGCGACGUCCAGUUGCAAUGCUAGUUUAGAGGCUACUAUGGAUUGGAUAUCGUUGAUCAUGAGAAUGACGUCGACAUUGAUGAGAUGCCGUUGGUAACAGUGGACAUUAGCAUUGGAUCUCCGAAACCAUUCUAUAUCACAGAAGGGAUGAAAAUAAAAGCACAGAAGUUAAGUUUAUUUGGAUGGAAAAGAAACCAAGCUUGGAAUAGGCUUGAAUUACUCUUUGGGUGGGACAUCAUGAAAUUACAGAUAUAACUUCUUUGAAGUAUUGCCUUUUCUUCUUUUUGUCUUGCUGGGAUUGGGUUUUUUUUUUCUCUCUAUCUUAAUAACUUGUACUGGCCUCCAAGAGUAGAUGUCCUUUGCUGAUUUACUAAUUGCUUAUACCUUGUGUUUUUUUUUAUCCCACGGGUCCUUAUGCGUUUGAAUUAUUCUUCAGUUUUUUUGAACGUUAAUGAUGGCCUUUCACUUGAGAACAAAACUUGCUGGUCUUGACAACUUUCAGCCAUAUGUAUUGCUCUUUUUCUCCCGAUGAACACGUGAAGGGAUGAUGGAGGAGAUUUCAAUUGUGCAUCAUUUGUAUGUUUGGAUGAGAGGAAGGCUUGGAUUAGGAGUACAUAGGUCUUGUUAGGAAAAGAUUGUACUACUUAAUUAC